rnacentral:rRNA from 2 species
UACGAGGGGGGCAAGCGUUGUUCGGAUUCAUUGGGCGUAAAGGGUGUGUAGGUGGCGCCGUAAGUCGGGUGUGAAAUUUCGGAGCUUAACUCCGAAACUGCAUUCGAUACUGCGGUGCUUGAGGACUGGAGAGGAGACUGGAAUUUACGGUGUAGCAGUGAAAUGCGUAGAUAUCGUAAGGAAGACCAGUGGCGAAGGCGGGUCUCUGGACAGUUCCUGACACUGAGACACGAAGGCCAGGGGAGCAAACGGG